UUCUAGCCCCGAUUGAAGUGGAAAUCCUUUUAUUUUUUUCCUUUAAAAAAAUAAAAGAUUGAAACGGAAAGCGGGAAUUAUU
rnacentral:sRNA from 1 species